UUUAGUUUGAAGCUGUUGUUUUGUCUUUUCCGGUUCCUUAAGCCUCUCCUUCUCUGGUGUCCCUUUUCCUUUUGCUCUCUCACUCCUUUCCCUUUCCCUUUCCUGUCUCAUUGAUGCUUUAAACGAUGCCUUCCAACAAAUGCUUCAUGGCAACGGUCCGGUUGAAGUAGCUGACAUCCAGCAUCUCAUCCCUCCAGAUGCCCACCAACAAUGGCAUCUCUCUUUAAUCUGUCGUUUAUUCCUGCGUCUAACCGAUCAGUUUGAUGAAGUUGUUCAAGGGUUGUAUGAUCUUUGGAAUCUUGAUGAUGAAAGUUUACUCCUAGCUCCUUUCCAUAGGGGUCACUUUCAUCUUAACUUUCGCUAUAGGGCAGAUUAUGACAGAAUUCUAAAUAAUGGGCUUUGGACCCUCAAUGGUCAAUGGAUUCUCAUGCAGCCUUGGUUUUCCUCUCGGUUGCCAUAGUUACCCCUCUCUUUGAGUGUAUAGGGCCAGCCAAAUUUGUCACUGUAAAUCAAAACUUUAUCAGAACAAAAGUCACCCUCUCAGUUUUGCAGCCUCUUAAAACAGGCUAUUUUGUCAGUGUCACAAAUUGGAUCACCUACCGUUAUGACGAUCUGCCUUGGACCUGUUAUAUCUGUGGAAAAAUAGGUCACAUGUUUCGUCGUUGUUCUCAACCUUUACCCCAAACAGGAGGAAGGUCUUUUGACCAAUACUUCAGUAGAUGCAGCAUGAUUCAUCCAGGGCCAUGGCUUCGAGCAGAGCUGGCUCUGAGACAUUCUUGGAAAAGAUCAUCCCUAUGCAACCACCUUAACAUCCUGUUCAGCGUAAUCAGGGUACUUCCAAUCAGCAGGAACCUUUGAGUCAUGCCCUUACUCUUGCUACCUUACCUGCUCCCACGAUUUCUGUUCCUUCCAUGCCUUCCUCUUCUGUUGGGCCUCUCCGUGUGUCAGCAAGCACUUAUCACCUCACUGAGGACACCCAACUACUCCUGAACCGGGUCCUAGAUGAUCCUGCGAAACCCUCUUCCUCUCAUGGUAAAAGACCCCAGUUGGAUUUACUGGCAAAUCUAGAAAUUGCUUCUUCCCCUGACAUACCAACCUAUGAUAGACCUGACAACUGCCUAGCUGUAAUAGAGGAGCACACUAUUCAUGUGAAUCAGAUAAAUUCUAAGGCUCUGUCCGGGAUUUGGAAGAUAAUGACUCGGAGGUAUAGCCGUUCUUUGGAAAUCAGGUUUUUGUGUUUCUGUGUAUAGAGCUUCUGAUAGGAAAGAUUUCGGAUUCAUUAUAUACUGAUGAGGAGUAAGUUGGCCCGACCUAGCAACCGAGGUACACGUGGACGCGGUCAGUCACUAGGAUGACAACUCAGCAAGGGAGCCUCGCCAACAUCCCGGUUGCUCGGGAGCUUGAGCACCUUGGCAUAAAGGCACAUCGGCACCUAAUUUAGUUCGGGGCCAAAGAGCUGAAGUGUUAGUUUGGGGCUAAAGAACCGAAGCGCCACGAAAUCGACUCCAGAAGCUUCUCUAACGUACUCCGAAUUCCCCGGGAUCAUGAUGUUUAUUAACAAGGCUCAUCUUCACUCCGCCCAAAUCGGAGGGAAUUGAUAAACCUUAUCAACUGGCACAUAGCUCUCUUUCGGAAACAGAACGGAUCUUACCUAUACAGCCCAGAGAUCCCGGAGCUUUUUCGUAAGAUUCAUGACUACUCAGCUAUAUAAGGGCAUCAAUCCUCAAAGCGAAGCUCGCCACGUGACUAGGGCCCAGGUCAUCUUCCAGCUACGAAUAUCCAGAUCGUUCAUUAUCAAUUGGCGUCGUCUAUGGGAACCGAUCAAAAGGUCAUCACAAUCUCGGUUGAAAUUUUAGCUUUCGAUCUAUCUAAAUGGAUUCUUCCAGCAACACUGGGAAAAGCAUUGAGAUGAACAUCACCGAGGUGCAAGAUCAGCAAUCAACCUUCCCCCAAGGCCCCACGAUAUGCAUCGACCAGUUUACUAUUCCCCUCACGGCUUCAGGGGUCCCGUUACUAUCCGUACCACAGGGCACCAUGCAAGUGAGCGUCCCGCUUCCCCUAGUGGAAGUAACUUUCUCUGAGCCAUUCGUGGUCCCCCCUGGAAUUGAGUACUCCUAAUUCCAUAACUUCGUCCAAUGCAUCCAAACGAUACAGAUCCAGAUGCAACAGGUCCAACAACUUCAAUAAUAUCAGCAGUACUACAUGUACCAGCAGUAUCAGCAGCAGUUCCCACCACUGAGCCGAACCAGUAGCCAGUUCCACCCAGGCACCCAGGGUUGCGCCAGGACCAGAACCAGAACCGGCGUGGAACUAGUCAGGAUGUCCACCGAUCCCCCCAUCGGGGUGAGGGGACCUUGUAGGUGCCGGUCCCUCCCAGGGGUCAGGCUUCACCUCGUGGGAGGAGAGACGGUCAGCACACCCCUCCAGUCUCACAAGGAAAUUUUAGAAAUACGCCCAAGGAUAGUCAGCUCAACAGGGCCAACCCGCCACAACACUCCCAGCAGGAAAACAACGAAUCGCGAGGAGAUAACAACCAGCCCAAAGCUCGAGGUGCGAACUCGAGGCCAAACCCUUCAAUGCCUCGUGAUAGCCGGUGCGAACUCCAGGAGAAUUUGGCAAGAAGGAACCAAGAUCCACAUCACGACAAUGUCCAUAAUGAUGUCGAGAUACCAGAUCAGACCAAGGUCAGUAGCACCAACAUUGAGCCGGUGAAGAAGCAACAAUGGCGACGCCGCAAGAUGUGUUUCUCCUCGGCCAAAAAUAGUCUGCCAGCGAAGCCAAGUCAACAAGUAGAGCAAGCUAAAGAAAGGGAAGAAGUGAGCUCGGUGACAAUGAAGACUGCACCUCCCUUGCUUAGCCGGUCAUCUCCCCUGUCUCUCGAGCUCCUAGCAACCCCAAUGCCGAAAGACUUCAAGGUACCCCCAUUAGAUAAGUAUGACGAGUCGUUUGACACCAACGAUCACGUGGAUUCUUUCCAGUGUCAAAUGCACUUCGCCGGGGCUGACGAAUCCUGCAUGUGUAUGGCCUUCUCCACCACGUUCAGGGGGGUAGACCGAACCUGGUAUAGGAACCUCGCGCCAAGCUCCAUCAAAAGCUAGACGCAGUUUGUCGACCUGUUCAUGCGCCAUUUCAUUACCAGCAAGAAAUGCCCGAAGUCACAUGAAAGCCUUCUGAAUGUGGUUUAGAGGGAAGGAGAAUCAAUCAGAAGCUAUAUUAAGCGCUUCAACGAUACUUGCCUGCAGAUAUCAAACCUCGAUCCAACGGUGUGACUCACUGUAGAAAAAAAAGGAAUCACUCACAAAGAGUUCAAGUGGCAUGUGGUAGCCAACAAACCAAAAGAUAUCACCGAGUUCCUUAAGUUGGAAGACUAGUUCAUCGGUACCGAGGAGGAGAUUAACCAGAAGACUGACAAUCCACCGGUGGAAAAGAGGAAGAAAGAGAAUGAAGGGACGAGCAAUGAUGGGCAGGAAAGAAAGAAGAGCAAGUCCCUGAGCAGAGGAAGAAGCAAGUCCCCUUCGCACGGGCACAAGUCAAGUUGGUGUUCCAGGACUCCGCCCGUAGAGAGAACAAAUUAUACACCCUUGAAUGCUAACCGAGGAGAGAUCUUAAUGGCUAUUAAGGAAUCCUCCUUCAUCAAAUGGCCUCCCAGAAUAAGGGGAGACCCGGCAACAAGAAAUCUGAAUGUCAACUACCAUUUCCACCGAUAUCAUGGACACAAUACUUAAAAUUGCAAAAAUCUCCAUGAUGAGAUUGAAAAACUUAUCUGUCGCGGGUACCUAAAGAAUUACAUCUUGCGAGAAGAGAGGGGGCAGGCAAACCGACAGGGGGAUCGUCAGGGGACCAGAGGAGGAAUGUCCCUGAGACUAGUAGGCAGAAUGAGCAGCCACCUCGGCAAUUGCCAGAGGAGAGGCCAAUUAGCAGAGUGAUCAAUAUGACCACCGAUGGGUCCAUCAUUGUGGGAUGUACAUCAGCAACUGGGUGGACCUCAGUUUGCGAAUUGGAGAAUAAAAGCAAAAACCCACCAAAGCGAUCCUACGACUCUUGUGAAAACUGGUCGCACUCCCUUCGAGGAAUAAUUUCGGUGGAGAGCAGUUUUUGGCAUCCACAAAGUUUAUAAACCACAUCUAGUCCGUGCGUUCCCGACACCCGAUCUGGUUUUUUCCACUGAGACACAUGGGUUACGUUGGUUCGACCAAAAAAAUCGGGAGGUGAACCAAAAAGUCGGGCCAACCUGCUUGUGCUGACCGUAAACUCCUCGCAUCGGGGUUGCGACCCUUGGCACGAGGAGUGGGGGGAAAUUUAUGAGGAGUAAGUUGGCCCGACCUAGCAACAAGGUACAUGUGGACGCGGUCAGUUACUAGGAUGACAACUCAGUAAGGGAGCCUCGCCAGCAGCCCGGGAGCUCAGGAUCUUGAGAACCUCAGCAUACGGUCAUCUCAACAUAGAGGCACCUUGGCACCUAAUUUAGUUCGGGGCCAAAGAAUCGAAGCGCCAUGAAAUCAACUCCAUAAGCUUCUCCAACGGACUCCGUAUUCCUUGGGAUCACGACGUUUAUUAACAAGGCUCAUCCUCACUCCACCCGAAUCGGAGGGAAUUGAUAAACCUUAUCAACUGGCACAUUGCUCUCCUUCGGAAAUGGAACGGAUCUUAUCUAUACAACCCAGAGAUCCCAAACCUUUUUCAUAAGAUUCAUGACUACUCAGCUAUAUAAGGGCAUCGAUCCUCAAAGCAAAGGGAAAUGACAUCGAGGAGGAGAAGUAUUGCAAAUUUUUAAAUGGACAAUUCCUAUAGUUACUUGAGAUGAAGCCAAGUCAAUGAGGAACAAUGUAAUAAAUCUAGAAAACCACAUUGAAAAACUAGAGAAGUUGGUUGUUAAAGGAUUGAAGGCUCUGAAGCCUUCUCAGUAGUUAUUUACCAAAUGACUCAAAACUAUGCAGAUUUUGUCAAUUAAUUUUAUGAUUGUGUUUGUAUUUGUCUUGUAUAUGUACAUGAAUUAGUAUUUAGGUGUAAGAACUAAUUACUAGUAUUUAGGUGCAUGAAUUGACACCUAUGUUUUGGUAAAUUUGAUUUUCGAAUGUAAUGUGUUAUGGAUAUGUUGUAAAAUAGGAGUUAAAAUGCCUUC